rfam:Agrilus planipennis Contig28524, whole genome shotgun sequence.
CCUCUCGUAGUUUAGUGGGAGAACAUUGGUGUAUAAAGCCAAAGGUCUCGGGUUCGAUUCCCGGCGGGGGGU